rnacentral:rRNA from 1 species
GACGGAGGGGGCUAGCGUUGUUCGGAAUUACUGGGCGUAAAGGGCGCGUAGGCGGAUUAGUAAGUUGGAAGUGAAAGCCCGAGGCUUAACCUCGGAACUGCUUUCAAAACUACUAGUCUUGAGUGAAGUAGGGGGUGAUGGAAUUCCUAGUGUAGAGGUGAAAUUCCUAGAUAUUAGGAGGAACACCGGUGGCGAAGGCGGUCACCUGGGCUUCAACUGACGCUGAGGCGCGAAAGCGUGGGGAGCAAACAGG